rnacentral:rRNA from 1 species
UACGUAGGGGGCAAGCGUUGUCCGGAAUCAUUGGGCGUAAAGAGCGCGUAGGCGGUCCGGUAAGUCCGCUCUGAAAGCCCGGGGCUCAACCCCGGGAGGCGGGCGGAUACUGUCGGGCUAGAGUCCGGAAGAGGCGAGUGGAAUUCCUGGUGUAGCGGUGAAAUGCGCAGAUAUCAGGAGGAACACCAAUAGCGAAGGCAGCUCGCUGGGACGGUACUGACGCUAAGGCGCGAAAGCGUGGGGAGCGAACAGG